UGCAAGUCGAGCGGUAGCACAGAGAGCUUGCUCUCGGGUGACGAGCGGCGGACGGGUGAGUAAUGUCUGGGAAACUGCCUGAUGGAGGGGGAUAACUACUGGAAACGGUAGCUAAUACCGCAUAACGUCGCAAGACCAAAGUGGGGGACCUUCGGGCCUCAUGCCAUCAGAUGUGCCCAGAUGGGAUUAGCUAGUAGGUGGGGUAACGGCUCACCUAGGCGACGAUCCCUAGCUGGUCUGAGAGGAUGACCAGCCACACUGGAACUGAGACACGGUCCAGACUCCUACGGGAGGCAGCAGUGGGGAAUAUUGCACAAUGGGCGCAAGCCUGAUGCAGCCAUGCCGCGUGUGUGAAGAAGGCCUUCGGGUUGUAAAGCACUUUCAGCGGGGAGGAAGGCGGUGAGGUUAAUAACCUUGGCGAUUGACGUUACCCGCAGAAGAAGCACCGGCUAACUCCGUGCCAGCAGCCGCGGUAAUACGGAGGGUGCAAGCGUUAAUCGGAAUUACUGGGCGUAAAGCGCACGCAGGCGGUCUGUCAAGUCGGAUGUGAAAUCCCCGGGCUCAACCUGGGAACUGCAUUCGAAACUGGCAGGCUAGAGUCUUGUAGAGGGGGAAUUCCAGGUGUAGCGGUGAAAUGCGUAGAGAUCUGGAGGAAUACCGGUGGCGAAGGCGGCCCCCUGGACAAAGACUGACGCUCAGGUGCGAAAGCGUGGGGAGCAAACAGGAUUAGAUACCCUGGUAGUCCACGCCGUAAACGAUGUCGAUUUGGAGGUUGUGCCCUUGAGGCGUGGCUUCCGGAGCUAACGCGUUAAAUCGACCGCCUGGGGAGUACGGCCGCAAGGUUAAAACUCAAAUGAAUUGACGGGGGCCCGCACAAGCGGUGGAGCAUGUGGUUUAAUUCGAUGCAACGCGAAGAACCUUACCUGGUCUUGACAUCCACAGAACUUUCCAGAGAUGGAUUGGUGCCUUCGGGAACUGUGAGACAGGUGCUGCAUGGCUGUCGUCAGCUCGUGUUGUGAAAUGUUGGGUUAAGUCCCGCAACGAGCGCAACCCUUAUCCUUUGUUGCCAGCGGUUAGGCCGGGAACUCAAAGGAGACUGCCAGUGAUAAACUGGAGGAAGGUGGGGAUGACGUCAAGUCAUCAUGGCCCUUACGACCAGGGCUACACACGUGCUACAAUGGCAUAUACAAAGAGAAGCGACCUCGCGAGAGCAAGCGGACCUCAUAAAGUAUGUCGUAGUCCGGAUUGGAGUCUGCAACUCGACUCCAUGAAGUCGGAAUCGCUAGUAAUCGUAGAUCAGAAUGCUACGGUGAAUACGUUCCCGGGCCUUGUACACACCGCCCGUCACACCAUGGGAGUGGGUUGCAAAAGAAGUAGGUAGCUUAACCUUCGGGAGGGCGCCUUA
rnacentral:rRNA from 1 species